rnacentral:rRNA from 1 species
GGCUCAUAUUGUACUCCAGAGUGUGAUGAUGCCAUCAGACCAGCCAUAGGGAUGACUUUUGCUGAUUUGAACGCAGCCAAGGAGUUCUAUGAAGCUUAUGCACAUCAUGUUGGUUUUUCAGUACGUGUGGGGCAGCAAAAGACUGUCAAUGGUGUCAUUACUCACAAGCGUUUCUACUGUGACCGUGAAGGUUUCCGUGAAGAGCGGAAAGGUAAGGAAACUUUGGUAGCUAGCACUGGUAGUAAGAGGAGAUAUGAGAGGAAAAUCACUAGAUGUAGGUGUGAAGCUAAACUUGCGGUCAAACGUACUGUCGAGAAUAAGUACAUUGUGACACUUUUCAAAGAGGAGCACACACACACACACACACUUGUAUCGCCCAGUAAAAAACAAUUCAUCAGAUCAAACAGGAAAGUUAGCCAACAAGCAAAAACUACAUUAUGGAACUGUCAUAAAGCUAGCAUUGGCACAUCCCUAGCAUACAGGUUCCUUCGUGUAGACUUGGGGGGGUUUGAGAAUGUUGGCUGUACAAAGAGAGACUUGCAAAAUCACCACCGAAACCUUAGGUGCCUCAUCAAGUCAUCCGAUGCUCAAAUGUUUGUUCACCAGCUUGCUAGAAAACAUCUUGCAAAUUCAGGAUUUUAUUUUGAUUAGGUUCUUGAUGAUAAGGGCAGACUAGUACAUGUGUUCUGGGCGGAUGCCACAUGUAGGAAAAAUUAUGCUCUAUUUGGAGAGCUUGUGUCCUUUGAUUCAACAUAUAGCACCAAUCAAUAUAACAUGAUAUUCACCCCCUUUACUGGAAUCUAUCACCAUAAGGCAAGUGUUUGUUUUGGUGCUGCAAUGUUACACGAUGAGAAGGCGGAUUCCUAUAAGUGGUUGUUUCGCACUUUCCUGAAAGCUAUGGGAGGGGCUGCACCUAUGUUUAUAAUAACCGACGAAUGUAGUAGCAUGGACAAUGCAAUAAGGGAAGUUUUCCCGGCAACUGCACAUAGGCUAUGCAUGUGGCAUAUUAUGAAUAAGAUUCCGCAGAAGGUUGGCCCUGAUUUGAAGACCGAUGAGGAUUUCCAUGAAUGAUUAGGUCGGUGCGUGUGGUCUUCUGAAACUCCUACUGAAUUUGAGGAAUGAUGGAAAGAAAUUAUGUCAGAGUAUGGGUUGGAAGAUGAUGAAUGGUUCAGUAAAAGGUUCAACCUUCGAGAAUCAUGGAUACCAGCUUAUUUCAAAGAAAUAGCUUUGUCAGGGCUUAUGCGGACCACUUCAAGGUCAGAGAGUGCCAAUUCUUUUUUCUCACGUAUUAUUGGUUACAAACAUGCUUUGGUUGAGUUUUGGCUUAGAUUUGACACGGCUUUGGAAGAACAACGUCAUAAGGAGUUGCAAGAGGACCAUGUGAGCCUACAUACGAUGCCUAUGUUGAAGACAUCGUGGGCGAUUGAAAAGCAUGGCAGCGAGGUGUUCACACAUGAGAUAUUUCAGGAUUUUCAACAUGAGUUGCUUGCUGAUAGGGAUCAUUGCCUUGUUGAGAUGAUGGCACAUGAUGGUGAGGUUAAAACAGUAACUAUACAUGAUGGCUAUAAGAAAUUAAGGGUGGUAACUUACAUCACAACAACCAUGGUAGGUUCUUGCACAUGUAAGUUGUUUGAGACGCACGGUAUCCCAUGUCGUCAUCUGAUCCAUGUCCUAAGAACAGCCCAGCUAAAUGAACUACCAAAGCAUUAUGUACUCAAAAGGUUUAGAAAGGACUGCAAAACCGAGCCAGUCUUUGACGAGGAUGGCAUUCUAUUGGAAGGCAAUGAGAGCAGUUCAAUUGAUCCGGAGAUACAAAAAUUAGCUUCAGAAACAUUUAAGAAGAUGGAAGACCUUUUAGUACAAGCGAAGCAAUCUCAAGUCAGCAUGCAAUUCUUGAGAGAUCACAUUUUUGCACUUGGAGAGCAAUUGUCUACCCAAGUUCCAGCGAAAAAACAAACUCAAACAGAAGAAUUUGAGGAAUUGUUAGGUUGUUCUAUUCCAAGUGAGGUUCAUAUCCAUCCUCCAAAUGAUAUUCGAUCAAGGGGUAGAAUCAAAAGACUAAAGGGGUACAGGGAUAAGGGUGGGAAGCAAAGACAGAAAGAGAAGAACAAGAACAAGGACAAGGAAAUUGCAGUAGACAUGAUUAAGGUACAUUCCUCUGGACUUAGUUUAGAGAAUAGCUCUAAAUUUGUGCUUGCUGAUAAAUACAACACACACUGA